rnacentral:rRNA from 1 species
UCAUGCAAGUCGAACGGAAGUUUAAGCAAUUAAACUUUAGUGGCGAACGGGUGAGUAACGCGUAAGCAAUCUGCCCCUAAGACGAGGAUAACAGUUGGAAACGACUGCUAAGACUGGAUAGGAGACAAGAAGGCAUCUUCUUGUUUUUAAAAGACCUAGCAAUAGGCAUGCUUAGGUAGGAGCUUGCGUCACAUUAGUUAGUUGGUGGGGUAAAGGCCUACCAAGACUAUGAUGUGUAGCCGGGCUGAGAGGUUGAACGGCCACAUUGGGACUGAGACACGGCCCAAACUCCUACGGGAGGCAGCAGUAGGGAAUUUUCGGCGAUGGAGGAAACUCUGACCGAGCAACGCCGCGUGAACGAUGAAGUAUUUCGGUACGUAAAGUUCUUUUAUUAGGGAAGAAUAAAUGAUGGAAAAAUCAUUCUGACGGUACCUAAUGAAUAAGCCCCGGCUAACUAUGUGCCAGCAGCCGCGGUAAUACAUAGGGGGCAAGCGUUAUCCGGAAUUAUUGGGCGUAAAGGGUGCGUAGGCGGUUAAAUAAGUUUGUGGUCUAAGUGCAAUGCUCAACAUUGUGAUGCUAUAAAAACUGUUUAGCUAGAGUAAGAUAGAGGCAAGUGGAAUUCCAUGUGUAGUGGUAAAAUGCGUAAAUAUAUGGAGGAACACCAGUAGCGAAGGCGGUUUGCUGGGUCUUUACUGACGCUGAGGCACGAAAGCGUGGGGAGCAAACAGGAUUAGAUACCCUGGUAGUCCACGCCGUAAACGAUGAGUACUAAACGUUGGGUAAAACCAGUGUUGAAGUUAACACAUUAAGUACUCCGCCUGAGUAGUACGUACGCAAGUAUGAAACUUAAAGGAAUUGACGGGACUCCGCACAAGCGGUGGAUCAUGUUGUUUAAUUCGAAGGUACCCGAAAAACCUCACCAGGUCUUGACAUGCUUCUGCAAAGCUGUAGAAACACAGUGGAGGUUAUCAGUUGCACAGGUGGUGCAUGGUUGUCGUCAGCUCGUGUCGUGAGAUGUUGGGUUAAGUCCCGCAACGAGCGCAACCCUUAUUGUUAGUUACCAGCACGUAAUGGUGGGGACUUUAGCAAGACUGCCAGUGAUAAAUUGGAGGAAGGUGGGGACGACGUCAAAUCAUCAUGCCCCUUAUGACCUGGGCUACAAACGUGAUACAAUGGCUGUUACAAAGGGUAGCUGAAGCGCAAGUUUUUGGCGAAUCUCAAAAAAACAGUCUCAGUUCGGAUUGAAGUCUGCAACUCGACUUCAUGAAGUUGGAAUCGCUAGUAAUCGCGAAUCAGCAUGUCGCGGUGAAUACGUUCUCGGGGUUUGUACACACCGCCCGUCAAACCACGAAAGUUGGCAAUACCCAAAGCCGGUGGCCUAACUUCGCAAGAAGAGGGAACCGUCUAAGGUAGGGUCGAUGAUUGGGGUUAAGA